rnacentral:rRNA from 1 species
AUGGGCGGGAGGCUGUGCCUCGCCGUGGACAUCCUCAGGGGCACGGAGACCACUGUUCGGAAGAUCCAGUUCUGGGUACUCAUGUCCUCGCCGCCUCCUGCCCACCAUGACCAGCAGCUCGAGAGCAACAACCUGCGUUGGGACCUAUGCUACAGCUUCAACGUCGAUGACGACUACUCCGACUAUUAUUUCUUCCAGCCGAGGGCUGUCUGGUUCGAUGACGGCGAGAUGACAAUGUGCUACAGGGAUUACAAUGUCUUGUUCAAGCAUGGCACAAGAGGACGCUCACCGGAGCCGUCUCCAGAUGCUGAUUGUCCGCAAUGUGACCGACAAAUCAAGCUGCCUCAAAUGCCGUCCAACUGCCAAUGGAACAUGUUUGGAGGUUAUCGCCCCAGCCUGCUCUCGCCUCUCACCUUGGCACUGCCACCGUCCUGUUGGGACGGCGAGGAGGAAAGACAUAAAUGCGAGCACGCCUUGUUGCUUACACUAGAAUGA